rnacentral:lncRNA from 1 species
UACGCCAUGGUUCCCCACUCCCAUCCCAUCCACCCACCCAUUCCUACACCGAGGCGUGAAAACCCGCGAAGCCCCAUGCCCUCCUCCGUCCCCCACCCAGUCGGAGCCUCUUACCCGACGACGUCGUCCAUAGCAACACCUCGACGUCCCUCAUCCACCGUACCAUAUGAGGAUCCGUCAUCGAUCUCGUCGUCCCGCUGGUUCAGCCACCCCGUCCUCCACCUCCAAGGAGCUGCCCCGACGUUCCCCUCGUCUUUCGCGCCACCUCCAUUCCCACACCGCCGUCUUCACCUGCACCACCGUAAGAGCAUCAUCAUUACCAUUUCCUCGGAUGAAGCUGAGGCCUAAUCGGCGCCACCAAAGAGGUUGUACACUAAUCGCUGCAUUUUCUUCUUGAAUUGAUCUCACGGUGCUGCCAGUGCUCGGUCCCGAGCCGACACGGUGCGGCUCCAUCCACGGUGGCAUCGCCAGCCACUUCCUCCAUGGCGUCGCUCCCUUGGCGGCGACGUCCACAUCAGUAGGAGUUGCUGUUGCUUUAGCUCUCGCUCGUGCUGCUGCUCUGCUCUUGCUCUCGGUCCCCUGCUAGGUCUGCUCUUGCUAUUUCUCCUGCUCGUGUUGCUGCUCUCGCACUUUCUCUUGCUUGCGAUGCUACUCCGAUUUAGCUACACUUCAGUCGGCUGAAUCGACUUUUGGGUCAGUCGAUUUUUAGGGGGUGGGGGGCUCGCCAGAGUUAAGGAAGAACCAUCCGCAACAGGAAGGGGGGCUCGUCGGAGAGGUACCCCACUACCUAUCUUAGGGUUCAGGGUGGGGCAGUCGUCACCGGCGGUGGUGGGGCAAUGGUGUGGGGAUCGCCAGAGGGAUGGCCGGGGCGGCGGCGGACCGGCGGUGGGGAGUGGUUUUGGGGCGGGCGGGGCGGCGCACCGUCGGCCGUGGGCGGCGAGGGGCGGUUGUUUGGCCAGUGGUGGCUGGCGGCUCAAAGGGUGGAGGUUGAGGAUGAACUAUAGGCCCUUGAUUUCGUAUCCAGCGGCUAGAAAAUCGACUGACCAGAGAUGAAAAAGUCAGUCGACUGACGUGUAGCCUCACCUCUAGUGCGUUCAGUUUCGACAGCAAAAUUCAGUUUCGACAGUUAAGUUCAGUUUCGACAGUUAAGUUCAGUUUCGACAGUUAAGUUCAGAGAUGAGCGGCUGAUGUAUUUUACAUCUAGCACUUUGUGGUUAUGUAUUUUAUGUCAUCUCUUGGAGAUGCUAUUAGAAUUCCACUCAGGUUAACGUUGUCUCUCCUGUCCUGCUUCAGCCUUGGCGUCAUAAUACUCAUCGGAGCUGCUCCAACGAUGAAACCCUCCAUCACAGCGGAGCAGUACCCCGGGCUCCAUCUCAAGAUGCCUAAGAUCUUCUUCCCCUGCUCCGACAGCCAAGUCAGCCGGAUCAUCCUCACCGACCAACCCAAUCACGCUGAGAUCGACAUGGCUUCGCCAAAGAGGUUGUACACUUGUUGCAUCUCUUUUUUACUUAUAUAUAUUGUCCACUGAGCACACUCGGUAACGUGAAAUACGAUUAGUUUCUCCUACUAUAUGACAAGCAGUGAGGUACCGGGCAACUUAGCUAUCCGUGAUGGACUCACUUGAACGUCAUCAUUAUUUAUCUCUGCGCGUUUGAGCUGUGCAUUUGUCGAUGGGCCUGGGAGUUGAGCUAGUAGGGCAGUUGUAACGCCCUCGAUGCGGCUAUAUCUCCCACGUGUCGAAGCACGACUUAGAGGCAUAACCGCAUUGAAAGCAAUGUCGCAAGUGAGGUAAUCUUCACACAACCCAUGUAAUACAUAAGGGAAAGAGAUACAUAGUUGGCUUACAAUCGCCACUUCACACAAUACAUGAAUAAAGCAUUACAUCAACCAGAUACAAUCAAGGUCCGACUACGGAACCCAAAAUAAAAGAAGAGUACCCCAAAUGCUACACAGAUCCCCGAUCGUCCCGACUGGGCUCCACUACUGAUCAACUGGAAACGGAACAACACAAAGAACGAGAUCUUCAUCGAGCUCCUCCUUGAGCUUGGUUGCGUCAUCUGGACGGUUCAACGGCACCUGCAAGCUGGUUUUGGAAGUAUUGUGAGUCACGGGGACUCAGCAAUCUCACACCCUCGCGAUCAAGACUAUUUAAGCUCAUAGGUAAGGUAAAAGGUAUGAGGUGGAGCUGCAGCAAUCGACUAGCAUAUAUGGUGGCUAACCUAUUCGCAAAAGAGAGCGAGCAGGGAAGGCAAAAGCACGGUCGAACAACUAUGAUCAAGAAGUGAUCCUAGAACAACCUACGUCAAGCAUAACUCCAACACCGUGUUCACUUCCCGGACCCCGCCGAGAAGAGACCAUCACGGUAACACACGCGGUUGAUGUAUUUUAAUUAAGAUCAACUUCAGGUUUUCUACAACCGGACAUUAACAAAUUCCCAUAUGCCCAUAACCGCGGGCGUGGCUUUCGAAAGUUCAAAUCUCUGUAGGGGUGUCCCAACUUAGCCCAUCACAAGCUCUCACGGUCAAUGAAGGAUAUUCCUUCUCCCAAGACAAUCCGAUCAGACUCGGCAUCCCGGUUACAAGACAUCCUCGACAAUGGUAAAAAAAGUCCAGCAAGACCACCCGCUGUGCCGACAAAUCCUGAUAGGAGCUGCACAUAUCUCGUUCUCAGGGCACACCGGAUAAGCUAAGCGUACGGGAGCCAACGUAACCCAAGUUGCCAAGGGACGGCCCCGCACGGUGCUCUGGGUUGGACCAACACUUAGACAAGCACUGGCCUGGGGGGUUAAAAAUAAAGAUGACGCUCGGGAUGCACGACUCCCAAGGGAAAAAGGCUAGGUGGCGAAUGGUAAAACCAAGGUUGGGCCUUGCUAGAGGAGUUUUAUUCAGAGCGAACUGUCAAGGGGUUCCCAUUAUAACCCAACCGCGUAAGGAACGCAAAAUCCAGGAACAUAACACCGAUAUGACGGAAACUAGGGCGGCAAGAGUGGAACAAAACACCAGGCAUAAGGCCGAGCCUUCCACCCUUUACCAAGUAUAUAGAUGCAUUAAUUAAAUAAGAGAUAUUGUGAUAUCCCAACAAAAUAUCCAUGUUCCAAACAUGGAACAAGCUCCAAUCUUCACCUGCAACUAACAAUGCUAUAAGAGGGGUUGAGCAAAGCGGUAACAUGGCCAAACAACGGUUUGCUAGGACAAGGUGGGUUAGAGGCUUGGCUCAAUAAUAUGGUAGGCAUGAUAAGCAAGUGGUAGGUAUCGCAGCAUAGGCAUAUCAAAAGAGCAAGCAUCUAGCAAGCAAAGAUAGAAGUGAUUUCGAGGGUAUGGUCAUCUUGCCUGAAAUCCCGCAAGGAAGAAGAACGAGUCCAUGAAGAAGACAAACGGACGUAGUCGAACGGGUCCUCACAAACGCGGUGUUAACGGAACCAACCCGAAGAAGCGACACCGGAAAGAAGCACACAACAUACUAAACAACCAACACACGAACAUGGUAUGAUAUGCGGGAUGCGGUAUGCGGUGCAUAUGCAUGAUUUGGAAAGGAAUGAUAGAACCUGGACUCAACUUGGAAAUCCAAGAGUACCACUGAAAAGGUGAGGUGAUUUCGGUUGAAAUCGAUAUAAAGAUCACCGGAAUCGGAUGCACGGUUUGGAAAUGGCAAGUAGAACAAAUAUGGCACCGGUCUGCGAUAAUCAGCAAGUAGCCUUCUAAAUGCAUCAAGAUAAAUAUGCUACAACACUCAAACAUGGAAACAAAGUACAUGGCAGGGAUCCACUCAUGAUUCUUGACAAAAGAUGAACACUGAGCUACGGCUACUUCACUCAUUAACAGGCCCAAACAAGCAUGGCAAAAGAGCAAACGAUAACAGGUUUCAGACUUAGUGAAAUUAACACAAGUCAGGAAUUUAUCAUCAGGAAGCACACUUUAGAGCAUGAGAACUACAAGCUACAGGAACUUAACAUGUAAAAGCAAGGCAUGGCAUGAAGCUACUCAAAGCACUUAACAAAAGUCCCUUAGUGACCUUGAGCCAAAAGGGAUCAGAAAAUACAAUUGCAAGCAUGUGAACAUGGCAAAAACAUAAACAGAUUCAGACUUAGUGAAAAACUGGAGCAUGCAAAACAGAUAACGAGUAGGCAUGGUUACGAGCUCGAUGCACUCACUACAGAGCAUGGCAUGACAAACUAAGCAUACACUAAUCAAGAAGACAUGGCAUAGGAGCUAUACAUGGCAAGAACAACAACAUAGCAUGCACGGAUCAAUAGCAACAACCUCGGCAAAAUCGCUAAACAUGUCAACGAUCUGCCAACAAAACAUCCUUACUGAUCAUCCUCAAAAGAGGCACGGAUCACUAGGAAACAACAUGAACAUAUGGCAUAACAACAAUAUCAGGACAAGGACUUAGUGAAAUUCUAAGUCCCUGAAAUCAGCAUUAACGAUUACUCUACUUCGCAAGAUUGUGCUAGUCACCACAAAUAUCACAAAAAUACAUGGCAUACACCCCUGUAAAGAUGGCAUGGCAUAUAAAAAACACAUGUAGAUCUCAGGAUCAUAUCAUGCACACAUUAAUCAUGGCAAAAAUGACAAAAUGUCAUUUGCUGAAACAGAUCUGACAAAUUCCUCACAUAGCCCUUUUCCAACAGCAUUUCGGGCAUCCAGAUGAGCUCAAAUGAAAAUGAUGCAAUGAGAUGAAAUGAUGUACUCGUCGAGGCGAACAUUUGGAUAUGCUACACGCGCAAAUCGGAGCUACGAAUGUGGAGAUACGAUGCGGUAAAGAUUGCAUAAAAACAUAGCAGAUCUGGGGACUUAGAAGAAAUUUGGACCUAUCCGGGAAAAGUCAACGGCGGAUGAGGGGGUGCGGGACGACGAGAUCCAAGCGCGAGGCACGGCGUUUGGAUCGGGUGUUGACGCUGUCCAGGCCGAGGGUGAACGGGGUCGUUCCGGCCGAAGGUUGAAGAUGCCCGCGGCGGCGCCAGCGAUGGCGGGCAGCUCCGUGGCUCCGGCGAACAGGGGAGGCCGGAUCCGGCGUCGAGGUCGCCGGAUCUGGGCGGCGCCGGCCCAGACCGGACGGAUGUGAGGCAGGGCGGCACCGGAAGACACCGGCGGCGGCGCGGCGAGGGCAUGGCCGCGGCAAUCCGGCGAACAGGCGACGAGGCACGGGUUGCUCACGGCGGGGACGAUGGCGCCUCGAUGGCGGAGAAGACGGGCUGCGGGGCGCUGACUCCCUGGCGGCGCGCGAGGACCCCGGCGCAGGAUGGCGGCUCGGGCCCAUGGGGGCUGGAGACGGGCCUCGGCGGGCCACGCGGGUGGGACGGCGGAGGCGCUGCCAAAUGGCGAGGUGGGAUUGGAGGGGAGAUGCGGCAUGGCCGAUGUGGCGGCCCCUGAUUGGUGGAGGUGAGGUGGCCGGCGGAGCGGACAUGUUCGGGCGGCGCGUGGACGCGUCCGGCGGCGCGAGGGGAAGGAUUUUAGGGUUUGUACCAUGAAUUUUUGGGGAGAGCCACAUAUAUAUAUAUAUAUAUGUAGAGGGAGUUAGGAGAGUCCAAAUGAGGUGCGGUUUUCGGCCACGCGAUCGUGAUCGAAUGACCGAGAUGAUGGAGGAGGUUUAGGUGGGUUAUGGUCCACUUUGGAGGGGUGUUGGGCUGCAACACAAACGAGGCCUUUUCGGUCCCUCGGUUAACCGUUGAAGUAUCAAAUGAAGUCCAAAUGGCAUGAAAUUUGACAGGCGGUCUACCGGUAGUAAACAAAGGCCACAUGAAAAGUCUCAGUUCAAUCCGAAAACAUUUAACACCCGCACACGAAAAGAGGUAGAAUGGAACACCGGGUGACAUAGGAGCGCCGGAUUGCAAAACGGACAACAGGGAAAAUGCUCGGAUGCAUGAGACGAACAUGUAUGCAAAUGAAAUGCACAUGAUGACAUGAUAUGCAAUGCAUGACACGCAGGCAAUGACAAGACAACCACAGCGAAUAACCUGAGGACACCUAGCACAUCUGUCUCGGGGCGUUACAACACUCCACCACUACGAGAGGAUCUCGUUCCGAGAUCUAGAAUGGCACGGGAGGGAAAACGGAAGAGAAAGAGAAGAGGUAAAAACUAAGUUGCUUCUUUGACAAACGAGUGAGUCCAAAGAACCUUGAAAAGGUUGAGCAAAAUGAAAGAAAGAAAGCAACGGAGAAGAGCAAAUUUGAAAGCACUCCGUUAAGAAAGAGGAAUAAGAAAGAACCGAUUCGGGUAGCACUUCGGUUGAAAAGAUAUGAAAGACCUGAUAAAAUGAAAGAGCUUGAGCAAAGGGACACAACACUCCGGUUAAAAGGAUAAGCAUGAAAAGAAUAGGAUCUUGACAAGAACAAGAAGAAGGUUUGAAGAGAGCAGCAACACAAUGCCUCCGGAACAAAAGUAAGAAUGGAAUGAACGAAGGGAAAAAACGAGAGCACACUUACAACAAAUGCUAGAACGGAGUUGUUGGAAAACCAACAACGAAAAGAAUAAGAUUGAUAUGGUCUUAUGGAAUACAUCUCAAAUUAUGAGGUGACAACCUGCCACUCACGGGAAAAAGAAUUGGAUUGAUAAGAACAAGUAGACGAGAAGCUAUCUCACCGGGAGGAUAAAUGAAGAACUUGGAUCAUUGAUAAACACCAUAAGAGCGACAAUCCUUAAAGGAAAGCUUUAGGUGAAACAUGCCACAAGAUAACUCCAAUGAAGAGAUCGAUGGAUUUAAAAUACCUCAUUCUUAACAACCUGUGAAUCAUGAAACAUAAACUCAAAUUAUCAAGAAUGACAUAAUACCACCUCCAAUGAUACGGUAGAAAGAAUUGCACUCCGGAUUGCAAGAUGAAGAAUGCUUGAGCUCCUCUGAAAAGGAUCUUGAUGAACACUUCGAGAAGGAAUUAAAUCAUUGAUGAACCAACAUGUAUAACCUCCGGCAACAAAAGAAUGAUCAAACGGAAGGAAAGAGAAGUUGAAAACACAAGGUGAAUCCUUGUAAUGAUUUAGAUGGAUCUCUGUGGUGAUGUAAUUGCGAGAGCUUGGGACUCCGGGAAAGAAAGAUGAACAAAAGAAAUCAAGAAUUUAUUCGUCAUGAACAAAUUCUGAAGGAAGGAAUUGAUCACUUGGGUGAAACAAGAAUAAGAAUUACACUAUGUGUAUCCUUCAUCAAUUAAAUUGAUGAUCAACAAUGGAUUUGGCAUACUACUUAUUCUCGUAGAAAGAAUUAAGCGAGAUAUAGCGCAGACUUGGGAAGGUCUUCGACGAAUCCACCGGUAGGAUUGAAAACAACAAAUGAAUUGAUAUGAUAACAAGGUAAGAAGAAUCUUGAACGAACCACCGUAAGAAUUGAAAAUGAACAAAGAGAAGAUAAAGAAACACCGGGAAGAAUUAUAAAAUGAACGAGGAUGCUUGAGAGGAUUUAGAUACAUGAGAGCGAAGAGAUCACGAGCCGAUUAGAGAUCACUUGAACGAAGCCCCGGUUGGAGAAUGAUAACUGAAAGCUGAGGAUGAAUAAACCUGAAUUGAUGGACUCCAGAUAGGUGAAAGGAAUUCUCACAAUCAAAACAAUUAUGAGAGGAUGGCCUUGAACUAGAACCACGAAUCAUGAAGAGGAUGGAGCAAGAUUGAGAAAAUUCUUCUUCGGUCUUCACAAUCUGAGAAUUACGACGAGAAACACCACCAUGAAUUGUUGAGAUACUCCGGAAUGACGAUUUUAAAGGUUAAACCAACAAUGAAAAGAAAUGAAAGAUCUUGGAGAAAGACAUUUGACUGAUGACAAUUCAUUCUUACGUAAAACUUCGAAAAGAAUUUGAUGGUAGCUCCAGGAAAAUAGAAGAGUCAGGUAAGAUCCUGGAAAAAGACCUGUGGGUUAGGGCCCACUCAAAAAAAACACCGUUGAACAAUAACUUGAAAAGGAGAUAGCACCGGUUGAAUUAAAUGGCUUGAAUAAGAUAAGACCUCAAAAUAGGUUGACUGGAUCUUGGAUGACAAGAUGAGCCUUUUGAGAUAUCUUCAGCACUCCGGAACAAAAGAAUAGCGAGAAGUGGAUGAUUAUGAGGUGCACUGACAUGUGAAUAUCAUUAGAAACAAAGAAAAGAAUAUGAUCAACACUGAAAACUUGAAUUGAAUCCACCGGAGAAGGAAAAGCACGAAGAAUGAUGAACUUGAAUCUCCGUUAGAAUCUUCAUGAGAAUCACCGGAUAAUAAUAUUGAUGGAAAAGAAUGGAGAGACUUCAUAACCAAUAAGAUGGAUACUUGAUUAAGAAUUCUGAGUCGUCGAAGAAAAAGGGAGGGUGGGCGGGAAAACAAAGGCAACUUGGAGACGAAUGAAACAAACACCAUUGAGAAGACUUGAGUUGAUCUUGCGGAUGUUGAAAUGAUCGGAUCCACUUGAAGAGAAGCACGCCGGUUAAAAAGGAUUGACAAAACAAUCUUGAUGAUCAAGAAGGAUUGGUAUUCACAAUGGAGUAUGAGAACACCAUUUGGGGAAGGUAUGGAAUCAAAAUUUGACUUCGAAGCAACUCGAAUACCACAACUCAAAACAAAACAAAGGAUUGGCUUGCAGAAUAAGCCGGAACAAACAUAUGAUAGAGAUUUCGUCCGAAGUUUUUGUGGUGGGGCCUACACGGGCUCGAUCGUACAACACCAUCAUGUACAAGGCAGUGCACAUGACAUACUAAGCGUCCCCGAGUCGGCAUAGCCAAGGACUCUUUAAGAAAACAACAAGACCACUAUAAAACCAAUCGUGAAUAGGCGGACCACUAGACGUCGAACCCCAAUUUCAUAUCACACAUCUGUCGGAAAGUUAUCCUAAGAGCUACUUGAAUUCCCACUUAUAAACUCCCGAAACUUUCUGGUUAUGCAAUCAGGUGUUGGGGAUACAGGGGAAGCAUAAUAUCUCACCCAAAUCUAGCAAAUCCUACAUCCAGCUGUAUCCAUCCUUCAACACAUAACCAAGAAACCUUCGGAAAUCAUCUACCUCAACCUUUGAAAAGCAUCCGUUAUACGAGUUAUGGCAAUACUCCCGAACUCCCGCCCCGGUACUGGGUGACGUCGAGGUUAUCUCACCAACAACUGCAUAAAAGAGAUUUUCGAUGUCGGCGAAACUAAACUCAGGUAUUCCAGAACUGCAACGAUAAAUUUGUGAUGACAACACCUUGGAGCUCAACUCCCGGGACACUGCCACAACCCCUAAAUGACAGGAGGCACCAAGAACAAUGUUCUCGUCACAAAUCGAUCGGGACGAUUCCAAGAUACCCGCGUGAUCCUAAAAAAAAAUUAGUGAAAUUUGAGAAGAGAAGAGUCAAAACUCUACGUCAGGAUGCCUCACCAGAGCGACGAAGGGACUGAGGAGUAAAAAGAAUUCCUAACUCUCCGAUAUAUAUAAUUCCUAAAAGACUCAAAACAUUUCUAGACUCAAUAUCGCCAGCGAUUCGAUCAAGCAGGGGGCUCCUAAGGUCAGGGAAGGCUUUGAUACCAACUUCUAACGCCCUCGAUGUGGCUAUAUCUCCCACGUGUCGAAGCACGACUUAGAGGCAUAACCACAUUGAAAGCAAUGUCGCAAGUGAGUUAAUCUUCACACAACCCAUGUAAUACAUAAGGGAAAGAGAUACAUAGUUGGCUUACAAUCUCCACUUCACACAAUACAUGAAUAAAGCAUUACAUCAACCAGAUACAAUCAAGGUCUGACUACGGAACCCAAAAUAAAAGAAGACUACACCAAAUGCUACACAGAUCCCCGAUCGUCCUGACUGGGCUCCACUACUGAUCAACUGGAAACGGAACAACACAAAGAAUGAGAUCUUCAUCGAGCUCCUCCUUGAGUUUGGUUGCGUCAUCUGGACGGUUCAACGGCACCUGCAAGCUGGUUUUGGAAGUAUAUGUGAGUCACGGGGACUCAGCAAUCUCACACCCUCGCAAUCAAGACUAUUUAAGCUCAUAGGUAAGGUAAAAGGUAUGAGGUGGAGCUGCAGCAAGCGACUAGCAUAUAUGGUGGCUAACCUAUUCGCAAAAGAGAGGGAGAAGAGAAGGCAAAAGCACGGUCGAACAACUAUGAUCAAGAAGUGAUCCUAGAACAACCUACGUCAAGCAUAACUCCAACACCGUGUUCACUUCCCGGACCCCGCCGAGAAGAGACCAUCACGGUAACACACGCGGUUGAUGUAUUUUAAUUAAGAUCAACUUCAGGUUUUCUACAACCGGACAUUAACAAAUUCCCAUCUGCCCAUAACCGCUGGCACGUCUUUCGAAAGUUCAAAUCCCUACAGGGGUGUCCCAACUUAGCCCGUCACAAGCUCUCAUGGUCAACGAAGGAUAUUCCUUCUCCCAAGACAAUCCGAUCAGACUCGGCAUCCCGGUUACAAGACAUCCCCGACAAUGGUAAAACAAGUCCAGCAAGACCACCCGCUGUGCCGACAAAUCCCGAUAGGAGCUGCACAUAUCUCGUUCUCAUGGCACACCGGAUAAGCUAAGCGUACGGGAGCCAACGUAACCCAAGUUGCCAAGGGACGUCCCCGCACGACGCUCUGGGUUGGACCAACACUUAGACAAGCACUGGCCCGGGGGGUUAAAAAUAAAGAUGACCCUCGAGAUGCGUGACUCCCAAGGGAAAAAGGCUAGGUGGCGAAUGGUAAAACCAAGGUUGGGCCUUGCUGGAGGAGUUUUAUUCAAAGCGAACUAUCAAGGGGUUCCCAUUAUAACCCAACCGCGUAAGGAACGCAAAAUCCGGGAACAUAACACCGAUAUGACGGAAACUAGGGCGGCAAGAGUGGAACAAAACACCAGGCAUAAGGCCGGGCCUUCCACCCUUUACCAAGUAUAUAGAUGCAUUAAUUAAAUAAGAGAUAUUGUGAUAUCCCAACAAAAUAUCCAUGUUCCAAACAUGGAACAAGCUCCAAUCUUCACCUGCAACUAACAACGCUAUAAGAGGGGCUGUGCAAAGCGAUAACAUAGCCAAACAACGGUUUGCUAGGACAAGGUGGGUUAGAGGCUUGGCUCAACAAUAUGGGAGGCAUGAUAAGCAAGUGGUAGGUAUCGCAGCAUAGGCAUAGCAAAAGAGCGAGCAUCUAGCAAGCAAAGAUAGAAGUGAUUUCGAGGGUAUGGUCAUCUUGCCUGAAAGCCCGCAAGGAAGAAGAACGAGUCCAUGAAGAAGACAAACGGACGUAGUCGAACGGGUCCUCAUAAACGCGACGUUAACGGAACCAACCCGAAGAAGCGACACCGGAAAGAAGCACACAACAUACUAAACAACCAACACAUGAACAUGGUAUGAUAUGUGGGAUGCGGUAUGCGGUGCAUAUGCAUGAUUUGGAAAUGAAUGAUAGAACCUGGCCUCAACUUGGAAAUCCAAGAGUGCCACUGGAAAGGUGAGGUGAUUUCGGUUGAAAUCCAUAUAAAGAUCACCGGAAUCGGAUGCACGGCUUGGAAAUGGCAAGCAAAACAAAUAUGGCACCGGUCUGCGAUAAUCAGCAAGUAGCCUUCUAAAUUCAUCAAGAUAAAUAUGCUACAUCACUCAAACAUGGCAAGAAAAUACAUGGCAGGGAUCCACUCAUGAUGCUUGACAAAAAAUGAACACUGAGCUAUGGCUACUUCACUCAUUAACAGGCUCAAACAAGCAUGGCAAAAGAGCAAACGAUAACAGGUUUCAGACUUAGUGAAAUUAACACAAGUCUGGAAUUUAUCAUCAGGAAGCACACUUUAGAGCAUGAAAACUACAAGCUACAAGAACUUAACAUGGAAAAUCAAGGCAUGGCAUGAAGAUACUCAGAGCACUUAACAAAAGUCUCUUAGUGACCUUGAGCCAAAAGGGAUCAGAAAAUACAAUUGCAAGCAUGUGAACAUGGCAAAAACAUAAACAGAUUCAGACUUAGUGAAAAACCGGAGCAUGCAAAACAGAUAACGAGUAGGCAUGUUUACGAGCUCGAUGCACUCACUACAAAUCAUGGCAUGACAAACUAAGCAUACACUCAUCAAGAAGACAUCUCAUAGGAGCUAUACAUGGCAAGAACAACAACAUAGCAUGCACGGAUCAAUAGCAACAACCUCGGCAAAAUCGCUAAACAUGUCAACGAUCUGCCAGGAUUCACUUUAUAGCAAAAGUAGAGCUCGAUUGACUCAAGCUAGGAUGCUCCAUAAUUGAAAACAAGGACAUGGAUGGAUAGAGCACCACAAUUGUAACAAAACAUCCUUACUGAUCAUCCUCAAAAGAGGCACGGAUCACUAGGAAACAACAUGAACAUAUGGCAUAACAACAAAAUCAGGACAAGGACUUAGUGAAAUUCCAAGUCCCUAAAAUCAGCAUUAACGAUUACUCUACUUUGCAAGCUUGUGCUAGUCACCACAAAUAUCACAAAAAUACAUGGCAUACACCCCUGUAAAUAUGGCAUGGCAUAUAACAAAACACAUGUAGAGCUCAAGAUCAUAUCAUGCACACAUUAAUCAUGGCAAAAAUGACAAAAUGCCAUUUGCUGAAACAGAUCUGACAAAUUCCUCACAUAGCUCUCUUCCAACAGCAUUUCGGGCAUCAAGAUGAGCUCAAAUGAAAAUGAUGCAAUGAGAUGAAAUGAUUUACUCGUCGAGGCGAACCUUUUGAUAUGCUACACGCGCAUAUCGGAGCUACAUAUGCAGAGAUACGAUGCGAUGAAUAUUGCAUAAAAACAUAGCAGAUCUGGGGACUUAGAAGAAUUUGGACCUCUCCGGGAAAAGUCAACGGCAGAUGAGGGGGUGUGGGAUGACGAGAUCCAGGCGCGAGGCACGGCGUUUGGAUCGGGUGUUGACGCUGUCCAGGCCGAGGGUGAACGGGGUCGUUCCGGCCGGAGGUUGAAGAUGCCCGUGGCAGCACCGGCGAUGGCGGGCAGCUCCGUGGCUCCGGCGAACAGGGGAGGCCGGAUCCGGCGUCGAGGUCGCCGGAUCUGGGCGGCGCCGGCCCAGACCGGACGGAUGCGAGGCAGGGCGGCACCAGAAGACACCGGCGGCGGCGCGGCGAGGGCAUGGCCGUGGCACUCCGGCGAACAGGCGGCGAGGCACGGGUUGCUCGUGGUGGGGACGAUGGCGCCCCGGUGGCGGAGAAGACAGGCGGCGGGGCACUGACUCCCUGGCGGCGCGCGAGGACCCCGGCGCGGGACGGCGGCUCGGGCCCGUGGGGGCUAGAGACGGGCCUCGGCGGGCCGCGUGGGUGGGACGGCGGAGGCGCUGCCACAUGGUGAGGUGGGAUUGGAGGGGAGAUGCGGCAUGGCCGAUGUGGCGGCCCCUGAUUGGUGGAGGUGAGGUGGCCGGCAGAGCGGACAUGUCCGGGCGGCGCGUGGACGCGUCUGGCGGCGCGAGGGGAAGGUUUUUAGGGUUUGUACCAUGAAUUUUUGGGGAGAGCCACAUAUAUAUAGGUAGAGGGAGCUAGGAGAGUCCAAAUGAGGUGCAGUUUUCGGCCACGUGAUCAUGAUCGAACGUCCGAGAUGAUGGAGGAUGUUUAGGUGGGUUUUGGGCCACUUUGGAGGGGUGUUGGGCUGCAACACAAACGAGGCCUUUUCGGUCCCUCGGUUAACCGUUGGAGUAUCAAACGAAGUCCAAAUGGCACGAAAUUUGACAGGCGGUCUACCGGUAGUAAACCAAGGCCGCAUGACAAGUCUCGGUUCAAUCCGAAAACGUUUAACACCCGCACACGAAAAGAGGUAGAACGGGACACCGGGUGACAUAGGAGCGCCGGAUUGCAAAACGGACAACGGGAAAAAUGCUCGGAUGCAUGAGACAAACAUGUAUGCAAAUGAAAUGCACAUGAUGACAUGAUAUGCAAUUCAUGACACGCAAGCAAUGACAAGACAACCACAGCGAAUAACCUGAGGACACCUGGCACAUCGGUCUCGGGGCGUUACAGCAGUGGCCUAGGUCCAAAGUAGUAGAAGUAGCACAAAAACAUUUUUUGAGUGUAGGCUUUUCCUUGCUCAAGCCUACCUACUAGAAUCACCAGUGCUUGAAAGGAAAAGUGAAGGAAAAGACAUAGGAAUUGGAAAGUUUCCUAUGGUACUACUAUUCAUGCAUUUGGUUCAAAGGAAUGAAGCAAAGAAAAACUGUAGGAUUUGUUCCUUUAGUGUCUCCUUGAAAGAAAAACCGUAGGAAUUUUAAUAUCCACUUGUCCUCCUUUUCGAAUUCCUAUUCAUGUAGCACAAGACUAAGAGAUAGUAGCAUAAUAGCAUUAUAACCAUACAUUUUCUUGUGGUUUGACUUAAUCUCAUCAUGCUUCUUUACAUCCUUUGAUCUUCCAAUUCUUGUGAACCAAACACCCAGAUUGGCAGAAAUCCUGUGUUUUUAAAUUCUCUAUUUUGCACGUGCAUUCCUAUCCUAUUACUGUCUAUUUCCUAUCCCUGCAUUGUUAGAAUCCUUCAAUUCAAACGAGCCCUUGCAGAAUUACUUCUCUUACAGAUAGUUGUCAAAGAAAACCUUGUGUGGUUUGUCCUGCUCUUGUUGCACCGUCGUCCACCCCAGCUCAGCUGCUCCAACGACAGAAGGGUCCAGCACAGCAAGGAUCUGGCCUCCAGACUGUCUUUCGCCGCCUCAGAUCUUCUUCCCCGCCGCUGGCAGCCAUGACAGCUACAUUACCAUCAUCAACCGAGCAGAUGACCUCGAGGACUACACGGGUCCAUAAGAGAGGUCGCGCUCUUUCAUGUCUACUUACGUUAUGCAUCACUUAAUAUUACAUGCUACUUUAUCGUCCUGUUCACCAAUUAGACUCUGAGUCAGCUCCAAAAUAAUGGUCAAACUUGAGUUUUUAAAUGGUUGUGGGGUACAUAUCGGAGCCGCAAUCAAUAGUAUCUAUCUACUAUCUGGUUAAUCUCUGGUGUCUAGUAUGAGUUUCAUGUUAGGUGGGAAACAAACAGUAAAGAAGCCAUUAUCUAUAUUUUUAACUGAAGCCUUUAUAUGCCUGCUAUCAUUGUUUUGGGUCUAUCCACAGGUUGCUACCAUCACUCUGGAUUUCUGCAUGCACUCCUUACAUAAUCUCACUAUGUUUUAUUCCUAUGCAUGCCAGUUAUUGUACACAAUGGAACUGAACAUGUAGAGCAAAAGAGACGAGCCUUUCGUGGCAAUAAAAUUUCAUGCAAACGUCGCUCCAUGGUAGGCGCAAAGGCAGCCCCCCUCCACCCAUUUCGGAUUGUAAUCGAGAGGAAGAUAUCUAUUCUGAGGGGGGUUCAGAAGGAGAAGACCACUCCUAUUUACCCCCCUGAGGUCUUCGCUCUAACUUGGCAUGCUAAUGUUGGUUAUAUCAUGCAUAUGGUGCCUUGGAUUGCUUACUUUAUACAUCAAAUAUGUCAUCUGCUUAGUUUAGACAUGCUUUGUGUGAAUGCCAUCUAUUUAGUUUAUUCAUCGUUUAUGUGAAUUAUGCAACGCCAUCUUGUUUAGCCAGGCAUCAUAUAUGUGAAUUUUGCAAUGUCAUCUUGCUUAUCCAGUCAUCUUAUAUGUGAAUUAUAUCAGGCAUCCUUUUUUUGUUACAUACUACAUUUGUCAACAAUGUUAGUACAUUCAACUACUCUUCGUGUGCAUCAGCCAUUUGACACGGUGAUGGAAAAUUUUGGAGUGAAAACAAGGUCUUCAGAGCAGACAAUGCUAUCUGACGAAGCGCAUAUCUCUCUGGUUACGGAUAGCUCCUCAGAGGAGGAUUCAGAGAAAGAUGACCAGUCCUAUCCCCCCCAAGGUGUAUGCUCUAACUUGGCAGGUUUAUGUUGCUCAUAUCGUGUGUAUGGUGUCUUGCAUUGCUAUGUCAUUUGAUUAGUUUAGACAUGCUUUGUGUGAAUGCCACAUGUUUAGUGUCUAAUUACCAUAUAUGUUAAUUAUGCAUUGCCAUCUUGUUGUAAGACAUUAUAUAUGUGAAUUAUGCAAUGCUAUCUUGUUGCAAAGGCAUUAUAUAUGUGAAUUAUCCAAUGCCAUGUUGUUUAGCCAAUCAUCAUGUAUGUGAAUUAUAUCAUGCUAUCAUUUUUUGUAUUACGUGUUCCAUUUUUCAACAACAUUUGUAUAUUCAACUACUCUUCCUAUGCAUCAGCCAUUUGAAGUGGUGAUGGAAGUAUCUGGAGUGAAAACAAGGUAUUCAAAGCAGACAAUGCUACCUGCUAAAGCACACAUCUUGCUGGUUACAGAGAGCUCCUAAGAGGAGGAUUCAGAGACUAAUGACCAGUCCUAUUUUCCCCCUAAGGUCUAUGCUCAAACUUGGCAGGGAUAUAUUACCCAUGUCAUGCAUGUUGUCUUGCAUUGCUUAGUUUUUACAUCAUAUAUGGAUUGCCAUCUGCUUACUUGCUUACUAUAUAAAUCGUAUAUUUGAAUUAUAUCAUGCCAUCAUGUUUACAUACACAACAUGUAUCUGAAUUAUGGCAUGGCAACCCAUUUAAUAAAGACAUCAUAUAGUUAUAUCAUCUUAUCCUGUUUAGUGUUUGCAGUCAUCAUAUUUUGAAUUAUGUCAUUCUAUCCGUCAAUUAUAUCAUGCUAUCAUGUUUCCAUAGGUGGCAUGUAUGCGAAUUAUGGCAUGCCAACCUAUUUAAUAAACACAUUAUAUAGUUAUAUUAUGUCAUCCUAUUUACAUAGUCAUCAUAUUUUGAACUAUGUCUUUCCAUCAUUUUUAGUUAGCCAUCAUAAUGUGAAAUUGUGUCAUGCUAUCCUGUUUAGUUAGCCAUCAUAUAUGUGAAAUUGUGUCAUGCUAUCCUGUUUGGUUAGACAACAUAAAUGUGAAUUAUUUCAUGCCCUCUUUUAUUCCCCACUAUCCAUUGCACCUGUCUUAUCAUACAAUGCUUGUACAUUCAAUUACUUUUCUUGUUUAUCAGCCAUUUGAAUAGGGGAGGGUGAUGGUGGUAUCUAAGGGAGUAGCAACACGGUCUUCAGAAAAGAUAGUGCUACCAGUUGAUGCAGAUAGAACCACGGUUGUACUUGCCCAAGAACCAGCCCCGCCACACAUAACCCAGACUCUCGCAGAUUGUACCCCUACCCAGUUGGACAGAGAACCAGCUACUCCCCUUCUAACCCCAACCCCAGCAGAUAGUAACCCAGUUCCAGUUGACACAGCACCAUCUCCACCACAGAGCAGCCAAACACGAUCAGUUAGUAAGGGAACUGCAGUGCCCAAAGCACGAGGACCCCCACUUCGAAUCCUAACUUAAUGCUUAAAGGAGAAGAAGAAUUGUUCUCAGGUCAGGUUCUGUAGCUAUGUUCAUACUCCUUUGCUCUUGCAUCACUGUAUUUACUCAUACCAACUAUUUUCAAAUUUGAAUGAUGGAAUUGAAACUCCAGUGGCGCAACAGGUAUGUUUUAAACCUGUUUCUUUAACUGGUUUGCUGUUGUAACUUGCUCUAUGUUGAUUUCAGUUUCAAUUGAAUAAACAGUUAUGUUCUCAUGUCAUGCACAUUACAAGUGUUGUUAUUGCUCUAUAGUUUCCCACACUUAUAUUCUUUCUAUUUUGCUUUGUCUUGAACAAAUAUUAUGUGAACCGUGUCCCUAUCUUGAUUUGGCAACGAAAACUAGAAUGAUAUAGACCAUAAAGUGACCAUGGUACAUAGAUAUAUGUUUGUUUCAUGAUGUUAUCAUGUCAACUUUACUACUGAACUGAUUUACCAAAAUGAGUUUCAUAUACAACAUGGUAAACAUGUGAUGUGUCUUCUUGUUUCUCUUUUAGAAUGCGGACAAAAUAUUUGAGAACAGUACCCCGUUAUGCAAUGGUAAAGGAAGUAAUGCAGAUAAGGUUCAAGAUAGUGAGACAUCCAUGUUGGUCUCCAAGAAAGCUGAUAAAAACUUUCUUGACGACAGUGAGAGAACCCAAAAGUCAUGUCUUGAUGUAGUGUUCGAGUUAUUGGCCACUACUUCUGGCACAAGCUCUUUGAACUCGCUGCCAGAAUCAGUUCGUCUUCUUGAGUCUCAACUUCAAGUUGAAAGACAUCGAUCAGAUGUGCUGCGACAGGAAGCUGAAGGAUUGAGGAAGUCCCUGCAGAAUUCAGAUGCAUACUUUCUGGUGCAACAGCAAGCACUGGAGGAUUUAAGCGCCAAACAAGAGAAAGUUAAUAAGCUUGCUAAGCAUCUUGCCAGCAUUAUGGGUACCCAGGAUAUCGUUUCUUGAGAUCUUUUGAAGUGGUUUCAGUUCUGGACUUGUUUUGCUACGGCGUUUAUUUGCACGGGUUGCCAACUUUGACAACCAGUGUAUAUGAUAUGCUGCUUUGUUCCCUAUAUUUGCACUGGUGGCGAACUUUGAUGCCCAGUGGAUGUAAUAUGUGUAAUAGCCGUGAUAGCCUAGCGUAAGUUGCUUGCUUAUUUGUUUCCUUGUUGUCUUGUUUAUUUGUUUGCUUGUAAUCAGUGCAGUUCUUUUUCCGCGGUUUGGCCGCAAUAACCUAUUUUUUAAAACUAGGCCACAAUAACCAUGGGCUACAUAUUUACUGUAGUUACCAUGGGCCUCCUACGGGCCGUAGAAACAAUGGGCCUUGUAAGGGUCGUAGAAACAAUGGGCCUUCUACGGGCCGUAGCAUCAAUGGCCCUUAUACGGGCCGUAUGAUCGAUUGGCCAAACAUGGGCCAAUAACAGACCGCAUUAUGGGCUGUAAACGGGCUAGAUUUGGAAUCGUCCGUUCAUGGGCCGACAAUAACGGGCCAUCAUUAAUCGGUUGUAUUUGAUGACGCUAUGAAAACGGCCCAACGGAUUAACGGGCCACAAACAGGCCGAUUGUAACCACGGGCUGAAUUUGGCCCACAAGCAGAAAAGGCUAGUAAUGGGCCGUAAGUAACCGAAUGCUGGAAUAAAUGGGCCCUGAGAAGGCCGAAAGAUAACACGGGUUGGAAACGGGCCAAUGAAAUAAUGGGCCGUUAGUGGGUAUGAAGCGAUACACUGUUCAUUGCGGGCUAGAUUCACUACGGGCCGUUAAUGGGCCAAGAGUUACAAAUGGCCUCGUAUGGGCCGAAAGACAUCAUGGGCCGGAAGUUACAACGGGCUGGAAUCAUAUUAGAUGGCCGAGAUGAAGCUACUGGGCUUAAUUCCGAUAGGUCGUAACGGGCCAUGAGUUAGCGGGCUGUAAAUGGGCUAUAUAGGAACAUGCUUUCUGUGGGCCGGCCUGUUACCUUUUAACCAAGUCAAACGGGUCGGCCUUUUCACCGGAAUGGGCCUCUGUUGGGUCGUGCCAUGUGUCGACCUAUCAUAGGCGCCUCUUGUCCAAUGAAUGGAUGACAUCUGUCCCAACGGUGAGCCAACACGUGCUUCCUCCGGCCAAUGACAAUUUUACAUGUGGAAAAUCCUCAUUGGUCAGGGUUGUUAAUGGGUUACCAGAUCCAAAACCGGACCCGAUAGCUUAAAGACGACCCGUUACGGUGGAUGCCACGUGUCGGUCACCCUUGACGAAAGCACUUCCAUGACGCGCGAUUUAUCGUCAUGGAAGUGGACACUUCCAUGAUGAUAAUUUUGGUAAUGUCAUGGAACACUUCUACGACAGCACAGGUAUGACUAUCUUGAUUCUGUCAUAAAAUCGUCAUGGAUUUGCAUGCAUGACAGAAAACAUGACCUACUAUGACAAACACGUAUCAUCACGGGAGUGUAUUUUUUUGUAGUGCACUCUCACUCUCAGUAUGGUGGCAGAAGUCACUCAAGUCAUCAUACGUCGUCGUGGUCGAAGGGAAAAUCCCAUUCUCAACCAUCUCGUCACCGUCGUCAUGGAUGAAGGCCGAAGAUGGCACAUCAUCACUAGCCUCCAUGACCGAAGGGAAAAUCCCAUGCUCGAUCAUCUCACUCUCGCCUCCAAAGAUGGAAGCAUCAUCCUUGCUCGUCACCAUGUCGUUCGCCUCCAAAUCUUGUUCCUUGAGAGACUCCGUAGUAAUAGUCGUCAUCGCGUCGUCUUCAAAAAGAGUGAUGGUAGACUCAGCAUCAUCAAUGCCACAAAGAGGGAUGGCGGCGAAGUCGAACUUGGGAGCGUCGUCUUGGAGCUUGUCGUACUUGGACAUCUUGGUGGUACUAUCCUCAUGCUUGUUGUCUUGGGGUUUGGUCGUCGCAAAGUGUGCUUGGGGUGGAGAAGCCUUGGUCUUCAUGAGUUCUUGCUGCGCCUUGAGAGUACCAAUGUAGUUGUCAUCGAGGGACUUGUAGUUCUCAAGGAAGAUAGUCUUGGAGAUGUCGUUGUUCAACCCCAUCAUGAAGUGGAACUUCAUCCGUAUGGGUUUGUCUACAUCGGCUCGUUGCAAGGCUUUCUUCAUCUUCUUGAAGUACUUGUCAAUGGACUUGGAUCCUUGGAUGGUGUUCUCCAAUUGGCGUAGAAGAUGUUCCGUGUAGGUGGAAGGCAAAAACUCUCGCUACAUAGCUCUCUUCGUCUUGGGCCGACUAAUGUCGAAGGUCUUUGAAGGUGACGCAUAGUCGUGGAAGUAACUUGUGGCGCACUUCACUUGAUCUUCGGAGGGGACUUGAUGUAGCUUGAGGUAGUUGUCCAUCUUGCACUCCCACUCGAGAUACUCCUCGGGGUCUUGAGUUCCAUAGAAAGAAAUCAUGUGGUCGGUGUUGAGGUCAUGGUAGCUCAUGGAAGUCGCAGACUUGAGCUUGGGGAGCUUCUCUUGAGGUGAUUAUGGUCGAAGAUUCCACAUAUCCAAAGGCGAAGAUGCCUUGAAGUCGCAUGGCGAAGAUUCCAAGGUAGAUGGUGAAGUCGUCAAGCGGUGGUUGGUGUUGAGCUCUUGACCUUCACGUUCUCGUCGGUGAUGGUGUCGAUGCCGAUGUGACCUUGCCGGAGAUGGUAGCUCGGAAGCAUGUGCACUUGAGCGUCUUCUCGAAGAUGAGGAAGACCACUUGUAGGUCUUGAUGAGGGAUUUGAGCUCCUCCAUUUGAGCAUCCAUCUUGGCGUCCAAGUGGUUUUUCAUGGAAUCACACUUGUCGUUGUUGUUGUAGACCAGAGGAGAUGUGCUUUGCCUAUCCAUCACAAGACUCGAGCAAACGUGAGUGGAAGAAAGGAAAGAGCUAGACCAAAUGUACCUUAUCCAAUGUUGAAGAUGGAUCAAUGAUCACUCAAUAAUGUAUUAUGGAAAUAGCACAAUUAGUACCGGAUCUUUUCAAUUCUCACACCUACACAAAUAAGGCUUAUGAAGUAGCUUGGUGAGGAUAGUGGCACAAAAGUAUGAUGCAAUUGUUAGCAAGAGUCGGUAAUGUUGAAAGAGAUCCACAAAUUCACAAGUGAAACAAGCCAAAUAGCAAUGAAUGGCACACGGAAACACGCACACGGAUAGAUAAAUGGGGUCGUGCAACCAAGGAAUGAGCACAAAAUAUGGAAUCCACGGAAAACGCUCGUGUUGCACAACUCUAGAGAGACGCUAGCACGCUUGCUCAAUAGGCAGAUACGACACUUGUGCACAACCUAUAAGAUGCAAAAUGUAUCAACUUUCUAUCCCAAGUACGCUAUGUAUGUAUGGUUCUCGGUGUUUCUCACACGAUGAUCCAAGAUGAUCAAUGAUGCCAAUUUGAUAUGCAAUGUGGUAUGAUGCUAUGGCUCUUGCUUACAAGCUCUUUGUUUUUCUCUUUGCUUAAAAGCUUUUUUGUCCACUUUUGCAAAAUGCUCGAACUAAGAUAGCAAUUAUGUAUAUGCGGGAACAACCAUGUGGCACAAGAGAUGAUAUGAUUAUACCAAGAUGAGGUAUGUAUGCAAUGGAAGGUGCGGAAACUAAUAUCACUAAAAUGCACAAGUAACGUGGCCCGGCAAUACUCUAAUGGCUAGUCUCGAUAGGCAAGUGAUGCAAAAUGGGCUAGGGGUUAACAAUGCAAUGGCAAGGAGAAUGUACAAUGAUUUCGUCGAGGUUACCGUCCAUGGCAGUGAUGAGUGGCGGUGUUCUUGAUGUAAAAAUGUUCCUAAUUAGCCGAAACACCUUAGGAAACGGGAAAAACCGCGAACUCGAAAUCUCAAACGGAAAAUGUCAAAUGGUGGUAACGGAAUGCGGUGGUGGUUUUGCGGAAACUCAAUGGGAUUGUGGAAGUGCAAUGAUAGGCUUUGGAGUAGGCUAUGCGAAAGUGGAGGUGGUUGGUUAUGCGAGUCGGAGUUCAAGUCACCUUCCCUAAGUAGUUGAAACACCUUAGGAGACACAAACCACAACUCAAACAAGCUCAAACAAAACUGGGUUAAGUUGGGGUGGAAGGGUAUGGUGGUGGUUGAUGAUGAAGUAACCGCCCCUAAGUAGCCUAAACAACUUAGGAGACUCAAAUCACAACUCAAGUAACCACAAAUGCAAUGGGGAACAAAAUGGGUUAAUUUGCAGAAAGCAAUGGUGGUAAUGCGGAUGAUAUAGUCGAAGUCCUAGGCAAAGAUGCCAAAUUUCCAAAAAAUCUGAUGGAGUCAGAUGAUGUUGCUGGUAUUUUUGUGGGAUGGGGGUGUCAAUAGCUACAAAAUGAGAUAAAGAACGUCAAAAAUGGACUCCGAAUGAAUUAGUUAUGCCCAAAACAAAAAUUCAGCACAUUCGGUUUCAGGGGUAUCCGAACAUCCGGGCGUAGGUCCGGAUGAUCCGGGUAACUGUACCAGAUUAGGGUGCAUGGGGUGUCUGGAUGUCUGGGAGAGGGUCCAGCUGAUCUGGGUUGGUCCGGAUGAUCCGGGACCUUGUCCGGAUGAUUCGGGCAGGUCAAUCCACUUGGGAUUUCCUCUUGGGGACGAUUUUUUUGGCGGAAUUUUCGAUCUUAUGGGUCAAGAUUGUGAAGAUUUCAUGGAUGGAAGGUGGGGAAACUUGUGGAGAAGUUAGAUCUAUCUACAACACAUCAAAUCCAUGGAUCAAAUCCAACAAAUCACAAAAAAAUGAGGCUAUUCUUUGGUGGGGAUUUUCGAAUUUAUAACAAAAUCAACCAAAAUAGGCUAGAAAAUGAGGGGUAGGGACUCCAAAUUCGUGAUCAACCAUGGCUCUGAUACCAAGAUGAUGUAGGGUGGAACCCUAGGGCCGAUCUUUCACGAUGUGGAGGAGGAUUCCCAAAGAACACACAAGAACACACAAGGGGAAAAUAGUCAAAUUGACUUGAUCCAAUCACACAUGUGCUAGAUUCAAACACACAAAGAGAGAUACAAAGGUCCAAAUCCAACACAAGAAGAUACAAGAGGUAACUAGUUCAUCCAAUCCUUGGAAGGAGUUGAGGUCUUGAAUCCUAGAAGGAUCUUCCCUAAGAUGGGGUCUUGAAUCCACUAUGGGAUCUUCUCCAAAGGAGGUCUUGAAAUCCAAUGGAGUGUAUCAAUCUCACUCGCUCAAGAGGAGAUGGGGUAAGGAGCAAAGCUCACAUACAAAUGAGCUAUCCUAUUUGCUAACCUAGAAAAGGGGGGAGCAGGUCUAUUUAUAGUCUAAGCCACGAAGGGGUAAGUGAGGUGGUGAAACGGGUACAUGGGCCUCGGCCCGGAGACAUGCACGCAAGCAAGGCCGGAUGAUCCAGACGGGGGUCCGGAUGAUCCGGGCAACUUCCGAAUGAUCCAGGACCUGGUCCGGAUGAUCCGGCUCCAACAAGGGGCUUCUGCAUGGUUCGGUCGUCAAGGCUGGGGGUUUACCCCGAUGAUCCGGGGGGCCGUCCAGAUGAUCUGGCUGAGCCCUGAUGAUCCGGCUCUGCGUCUGGAUGUCUGGCUCCAGCUCAGCAGUCGUGAAGCCUUCUUCUCCUUUCUUCUGUCUUCUCUUCCACGCUUCCCUCGCGAACGGUGUAGUUGUUCCUUGGCGCUUGCACUCCUCCUCGACAUUCGUGAAGCUCCGACAAUACCUAUGCAUGCACGAUGGAGGGUCAAGUAGUAUACCAUCCUCGAAGGGGUCAAGCGAGCACGUGUAAAGGAGAUGAUUCACCUUUGUGAAUGUGAAGUAGAUGUCGCAUGUGUCACUUGCCAAACGGACUCUUGACAUGGUGAUGUACAUAGGAUGCUCUGCAUCACGUUAUGUCUGUGAAAAGUAUAUCGUUAAUAUAAUUACAUCUACUACUAACACUCCACCUAAAAAGUGCUAUCCAUCAUACAUCUCAAGGUAUUAAGUUUGCAAGAAGCAGAGUAUUGCAAUAAGCAAGAUGACAUAAUGUAGAUAGGAAGACGUCAAUCAAUAUGACAAAACUCUGUCAUUUUAUCGUUAGUGGCAACAAUACAAUGCGUGACUUAGCCCCUUUUGUCACUAGGUUAGAGCACUACAAUAUUGAACCCACUACAAAGCACUACUCCCUCUAAAGAAAAACACAUCGAACCUGGCCAAAGAAGAUAGAUAGAUCAGAGAGCAUGCAAAGCUAUUUAAUUAUACAACAAGAAAACCUCAAAACAUUCAAUUGGUUACAAUGAACAAUCUGAGCAUGCAUAAAGUGACGAUUCAACAUAUCCCAACAAAAAACACCAGUGAUUACAUUGAAUUGAUCCCAAUCAUGUGAGGCAGCUCACGGGAACAUGAUAUUGAAGAUGAGAGAGAGAGAGAGAGAGAGAGAGAGAGAGAGAGAUCCAUCUAGCUGCUACUAUGGACCCUAAGGUCCUAAUGGAACUACUCACACAUAAUCACGGAGGUAGCAAGGUUGAUGAAGAAGACUCUGACAAUGGAUUCCACCUUCGGGAGAGCUCUAGAACAUACCUCCAGAUUGGAUCUUUGAGAAACAGGAACUUGCGGCGGCGAUAAAAUUCUUCUAAAAAUACGACUAAGGAUUAUGGUAUUUAUAGGGAUUUAUGGCGGUGGAAUCGAGGUAAGGCGGUAUCUAUGGGCCCCACAUGUCCUAGUGGCGUGCCCUAGGGCCAGGGCAUGCCACCUGGCCGUGUGGGCCCAUGGUGGGUUGUCUUGUCCUCCCACAGAGCAUCUAGGGUCCUUCAUUGUCCUGAAAAAUCGUCGAAAAUUGGCAUCAUGUUUUGACCUUCCUAGAUAUUGAUUUCCUGCUAAACCAAAAAAACAUGCAGAAAACAGGAACUGCGUUGGGCACUAAAUUAAUAGGUUAGUCCAAAAAAUUUGGUAUAAAAAUAUAUACAAGUUAUACUAUAAUAGCAUGAAAUAAUAAUAAAAAUUAUAGAUGUUUGAGACGUAUCAGCAUCCCCAAGCUUAAUUCAUGCUCGUCCUCGAGCAGGUAAAUGAUAAACAAAGAUAAAGUGUGAUGUUGAAUGAUAUCUAACAUAAGCUUGAUCAAAUGAUGUAGGGUGGUAUGAACUUAAGAUAAAAGUUAUUGAAGGCAAUAGUUUAUCAAUUUGAUAUAAAAACAAUGAUACACAAGCAUGCAAAUAAACAGUCAUUGCCUUUCAAGAAUACAAAUGCUAAAUAUCUGAUUCCGUACCAAUUAUUAGUCAAGUGUAUCACAAGAACAUAGCAGGCUUGGGACAGGCAUAGAAGCUACACCUGCCUUGAGACAACUAGGGCGUGUUUGGUAGCCCAACCAGGCCCGCGCAAAGAAGAAAAUGGCAUGUUUGGUUGCCUGGGCUGCAUCUCCUUCUCGGGCCGCACGGAACUUAAAGCAUCCUGAGGCCUAUCCACGAAAGAACGGCCGAAUCGGCAGUUUUUUACGAGACGGGCUCACUACGGCCACACGUGCCUCUUCACUACAUGCCUCGGGAGCGUGGGAGACGGACGGGACGUCUCAUAACUCCCCUUCCUCUCUUGUGUCACCACUCACUCCUUCAUUCACACCACUCCCUCUCACUUUCCUCACAGCUCCUUGCUCUCCUCCGAUGGCUCGCCCACCACCGCGCCGCCCCCUGACCCGCAUCAUUGCCGGGAGUAACAACGUCCAUGACCGGUGGGUGGCCAGCCUCACCAACUCAGGCAUUGACCUACUGGCAGCCAUCCGCGCGCCCUCGCCCUUUUGCACAGGGCCCCUCGUCAUGCCGAUGAGGUGUCGGCCGCUCCAGCUCCGCAUUGUGGUCCUGGGUUCGGUUGCAUUGUCGGAGGGGGACAUUGGGUGCGCUGCUACUCGAAACCCCAGUGGGCGGAGGUUUUUUUUUUAACCCCAUUCGAGGGUUUUCUCCGGGCAGUGCAACAAGGCCACGGACAACACCCUCUUCCUCGACCUCCCGCGUGACCAGGAGCAUCGGCGCAUCACUGAUGGCCCUCAGCAUUGUCGGCUCGUCCUCUUUGGCCGACCCCUCCUUCUCGUCAAGGUUUUCUCCUCGGCCAGCGUACGCUCCAACGUCACCCGCUCCGGUAAGUUGCAUUUCCCCCCUUUGCUCGUAGAUGUAGAUUAGGGUUUGCUAUACUAGGCAUGGCUUGGCUUGGAUUAGAUUCAACUCGAUUCAAUCCACUUCCUAUCGAAUCGAUUUGAAUCCAAUUGGUUGCUUCUUGACUGUUACUGUAGAUUAGUGCACUGCCCCGUCGUUGUUAGAUUGGUAGACUAGUGCACUGCCUUGAUGAAAACUAGGUGUUGUUGUAGAUUUGUGCUUGCAAGUGACAUUGGAUUGAUGUUCAUGCUAGAUUGGUACUGGGAUUUGCUUGAUGUUCAUGGCAAUUGCUUGAUGGUCAUGCUGCAUGAUUCCACUUGUAAGUUGUGUUAAUUUUGUUCCCAAAGAGAAAGGGAUGAUGCAGUACAGUAGAGGUAGGUAUCUUCUUCGGUUAGAAACCAAGCUUAUCAAUCCAGUAGGAGAACUAAGCAACAACUUGUUAGCAACACCUACAACAAAAUAACAAAUACUUGCACCCAAAUAAUUCACAGCCAAAUCUACGGUUUCACAGUUGUUUCAACCAAACUGCUUUUAGCUUUUCCACAACUGGAAGUUUACAGCAGCUUUGUCGUAGCUUACAGGCAGCUUUUUCAGAAUCUAGCAGCAUACAAUGACUUGAAUAUGUAGAGCUGACGAGUAAUCAGGAGUACUGCUGUUUCAGAAUCUAGCAGCAUACAAUGACUUGAAUAUGUAGAGCCGAGGAGUAAUCAGGAGUACCGCUUCAGCAGGAACAACUAAGCAGCAACAUAAUCAACUAAGGUUUGAUUUGUCACCACAUCAAUUUCCUCAGUAAGCACCAAAUUAGUUGAAUAGAGCACAGAAAAACACAUCAAACACAUCCAGCAAUAUAACAUGACAAUUACCAGAAAUUGUAGAAGCGUGAUGGUAAAAAAUAAUUAUAUGGAACACCAGCAGGAGGGAAUGAUGGAAAAUAGUACCAGGUACAAUAAACAAUAAUGAUUGGAUCAGCUACAUGUCAGAUCAUAUGAUAUUUACACACAGAAGACUUUAAUAUCUUAGCCAUACAAAUAUAGAGUAACCUGAUGUCCAGUUGCCACAUUGAUUUAUGUCAUGAAUCGGGCAGAGAAUUCAGCACUUCUAUAUUGGGCGAACAGACAACCAAAGAGAAGAUUUUGUAGUUGGAUGUCACUCUACACUUCACAAUUUUACACCCUUCCUGUUGUGCUUUCCUUAUAGAGUAUAUUCACCAUGGUCAAUAAGUCAAGACAACUCUGCUGCCCUGGUAUACAGAAACUCUGCUUGCAACAUGUGAUGCAAAGUACAAAGAGUAUAAUUGCCUGAAAACAAACACCAAAGUGACCCACGGUAUAUACAGCUUGAGAAUUGCCCUGUGCCAGGUAGGUAACGAGGAACCGGGGACUACUUGAGGUUCAUAUAGCUUCCACUAAACUAUUCAUAUUUUUCUCACCACUUAAUUAUGGCAUCAUGUUGAUGUGCAUCUCAUGAAACAAACAAUGUGUCACGACAUUAAAUCAACAAGCACUUUCACCAGGACAAACCAUGCAUAACAACACAUCUCCUGUCUUGCUUGUUCUAGUCCUGAUGUACUGUGGCAAACUCAUUCUUUAUCUGCACAAGCUUCACAGAACCAUCGCCACCACACGAAACGAAACCAUUAGUCAAGACAUGGAUAUCUGUUACAGCAGCCUGCAAUAAACAUGCAGACAUGGAUAUCUGUUACAGCAGCCUGCAAUAAACAAGGUUGUUAAAAUUUAUCUAAUCUAUUGAUAUAGCAUACCCUAACAACACCACCAAAGCCCCUGGAGGUUGGUUGAAAAAAAGUGUGCCGCUCAUGCAACUUCGGCCAAUGAAAGACUAGCUGGGAAUUUUUAGCAUCCCAAAGCUUUACAUCUCCAUCUUUGCUUCCAGUCAAGAAUAAGGUGGUAUCUGGAAUGGUCGAUAGACUGGUGACACUCCCUGCAGAUACAAGAUAAGUGAUAAGACAGAAAAUCAACUUUAGAAUUGAUGAGUGUCAUGGCAACGUGAGAGCUUACCUAAAUGAGCCUUCGGUAUAUGCCAAAUCAUCCCACGGGAGCUACCCCCAGCAGAAGUUUUGUGAUGCUUACUCUUUCCAGUAGAAACGAACCGGAAAUCAUGCAAUGCCACAUCUCCACUUUUCCCACCAGUUACAAUCAGCGGUGAGAUGGAUCCACAGCCUAUGUUGUUGUCGAACACAGUAAGAGAACGGGCUCCUCCUACAAGAUGAAGUCCAUGGUCAGCCAUCCCUACUAUAUCUAUAGAAAAAAGUGCACCAUAACCUUCAACUAUUGCGAGUAAACCUGGGAAUAGUUUGUAAUCCAGAUUAAACCCAGCCCAAUCCAUACAAGUAUAAGUCCAACAAUCAGACCAGACCAGACCAAACUGCAAAUGCUAUAAUCCAAACCAAUCCAAACUGUACGUAUUUUCAAGCCAAACCCAUCCAACCCAGUCCCCACAUACAAUUUCAAUCUGAAGUUUCAAACCAAGGGCGUGUCCAAUUACUAUGGGAAGAGAGGCGUUGGAAGGGUGAUUAGCUGCUGCUGCAUGUUACUCACCACCACAACGUACGUACAUAGAACAAGCUAUAAUGCUAGAUACUAUAUAUGACUAGCUGCACUCCGUCCAUCACGGUAUAAGACGAUCUUGUUCGCACUGUCCGACCUCGUCGGCCAACUCGCCGGCGCCGUCGAGCGGGAAGAAGGGGCACCUCGUAGGGCGCCAUGUGACUGUUGUAUAUCACACUGUCUGGCAGUAGUUGAGCAGUUCGGCCACGGCCUGCGCCACACACAACCCACAGUUCGCCACCGCCUCCGCCGCCACCGAGCUGCGCCAUGUCCAUCGCCAGCCCCUUGUUCGCACCGUCGCCGGAGUCGUUGGACAUGAGCUUCAUUGCGCUUGAUUGAACGCGACCAGAUACAUCAGCCCAUGCCGGUGGCGUUCUGGGUGUUGAGAAGGCUGAGCAUGUAGCCUGUGUCCGCACCGCCACGGCCAACCAGAGCAUGCAGUCCUACCGCAGGACGUCGUCACGGCACUGCGCAAGGCUCCAUGUCGCCAAGGAGGAGCGGGCGGCGGUGGCCAUGGCGUAGCAGGCGGAGGCGUGCGGUGUUAGACCUUUGAACCUGAGCAUUGAUAGUUGUGGAUGACACUAGGAGAGUUUGGGACAAUUUUCGUUGGUUUAUUUCUCACACAAUGCCAUACCAACCUGAGGGGUUGGGGUUACAUACUUAUAGGCUGCUAGCCAGCCAAGCAUAUGCUGAGAUGCUACUAAGAUGCCAGUCUAAGAUGCUAGUCUAAGAUGCCAGUCUAAGAUGCUAUCCUAACUGCCAGUCCUUGAUGGUCAGGAACUCUAUCCUAACUGCCACAAGGACCAUGUGCUGCAGACCCACAAGGACCAUGUGCUGCAGCCCCACAACGACCCUAGUACACAGACUUAUCCAACAUGCGGGACAAGGCCGCCAGAACCUGGUUGAUGCUGGUUUGUGUCUCUACUAGAGCAUGGACGUGCCAUGGCGAGCAGGAGCAUCAUCAUCGGCACCAGUAGUGGAGACGACAAGGAAGACGUUGCCAAUGGGUGAUUGCUUUUCCCGGCAAAAAAAAGGGUGAUUGCUUUGAUCGGGACCCUAACCUGGUCCCUGAUUUAGUUCUCCGUCCAUGGGUUAGAAUGGUUUGAGACUGUUUGUUCUGUGACCAGACCGAACCAGACCGAACCGAUAAUAGGAAAAGCCCAAACCAAACCAGCUUACAUUAGGAGCUCAGCCCAUUUAAUCCAAACCAAAAGAGACCAAUAGGAAAACCGAUUUGAAAUUGUGGUUUGUGUCCAAACUGUUCCCAGGUUUAAUUGCGAGUUCACAUUCAACCUUUAAUUCAUAAACCGUUUAUUUAAACCCUGGUCUAUGAAAUCUAGUCACUUCACCCUCUUGAUCCAACCUUAGGUGGUUUCUUGCUGACCUGAAUGCCUCGUGGCAGAGAGCACAACUUAUCCACAUGAUCCUCCCUCCCAGUCACUUUACCCCCUUGAUCCCUUCUCAGGUGGUUUGGUGCUGACGCGAAUGCGGCGUGGCAGACAGACAGCCUCCCUCCCAUGGCACCAUCUCUCUUCUCACUUUCUCCCAGUUGUCUCUUGAAAAUAAAAACUUUCUCCCAGUUGAUGUCUCUUGAAAACAAAAAAUUUCCCCCAGUUGAGCCUCAAAUCCCUAACACUGGGAGACCUGAUGAGCGCGAGGGGUCGAGGGGUCUGCACCUCCAAUUCUUCCGUUAUGAGCGCAAGGUGUUCUCCGCAUCCACCAGCAUGGUGGUUGGUGACGGAGCAUCUGCCUUAUUCUGGGAGAAAUGUUGGUUGGAUGGUCGUGACAUUCUUGUUUGGGCAUGAGCUCCUUCUGGUGUCCAGGCGCACUAGGAAACGUUGGACCGUCANNN